rnacentral:rRNA from 1 species
AGUGAACGCUGGCGGCAGGCCUAACACAUGCAAGUCGAGCGGCAGCGCGGGGGCAACCCUGGCGGCGAGCGGCGGACGGGUGAGGAAUGCAUCGGAAUCUACCUCGUUGUGGGGGAUAACCUCGGGAAACCGGGACUAAUACCGCAUACGACCUACGGGUGAAAGUGGGGGGACCUUCGGGCCUCACGCUAUAGGAGCGGCCGAUGGAAGAUUAGGUAGUUGGUAGGGUAAAGGCCUACCAAGCCGACGAUCUUUAGCGGGUCUGAGAGGACGAUCCGCCACACUGGGACUGAGACACGGCCCAGACUCCUACGGGAGGCAGCAGUAAGGAAUAUUGGACAAUGGCCGCAAGGCUGAUCCAGCCAUGCCGCGUGCAGGAUGAAGGUGCUCUGCAUUGUAAACUGCUUUUGUUCGGGAAUAAACCCUUUCACGUGUGAGAGGUUGAAUGUACCGAAAGAAUAAGGGACGGCUAACUUCGUG